GAUGAACGCUGGCGGCGUGCCUAAUACAUGCAAGUCGAACGGAAAGGCCCAAGCUUGCUUGGGUACUCGAGUGGCGAACGGGUGAGUAACACGCGGGGGAACUGCCCUGCACUUCGGGAUAAGCCUGGGAAACUGGGUCUAAUAUCGGAUAGGACCACUUCUUGCAUGUUGUGGUGGAAAGAUUUUUCGGUGUGGGAUGAGCUCGCGGCCUAUCAGCUUGUUGAUGGGGUAUUGGCAUAGCAAGGCGUAGACGGGUAGCCGGCCUGAGAGGGUGUAGGGCCACAUUAGAACUGAGCGACGGCCCAGACUCGGAAGGGAGGCAGAAGUGGGGAAUAUUGCACAAUGGGCGCAAGCCUGAUGGAGCAACGCCGCGUGGGGGAUGACGGCCUUCGUGUUGUAAACUCCUUUCGCUAGGGACGAAGCGUUUUUGUGACGGUACCUAGAGAGAAAGCACCGGCUAACUACGUG
rnacentral:rRNA from 1 species